rnacentral:tRNA from 1 species
UCCCUGAUAGUCCAGUGGUUAGGACUUGGAGCCUCCACUGUAGCGGGUACAGGUUCGAUCCCUGGUCGGGGAA